UACGUAGGGUGCGAGCGUUGUCCGGAAUUAUUGGGCGUAAAGAGCUCGUAGGCGGUGUGUCGCGUCGGCCGUGAAAAACCUGGGGCUCAACUCUGGGCGUGCGGUCGAUACGGGCAUCACUUGAGUUCGGCAGGGGAGACUGGAAUUCCUGGUGUAGCGGUGAAAUGCGCAGAUAUCAGGAGGAACACCGGUGGCGAAGGCGGGUCUCUGGGCCGAUACUGACGCUGAGGAGCGAAAGCAUGGGUAGCGAACAGGA
rnacentral:rRNA from 1 species